UACGUAGGUGGCGAGCGUUGUCCGGAUUUACUGGGCGUAAAGAGCGCGCAGGCGGUCGUUCAAGUCGCGUGUGAAAGCCCCCGGCUCAACUGGGGAGGGUCACGCGAUACUGAUCGACUCGAAGGCAGGAGAGGGAAGUGGAAUUCCCGGUGUAGUGGUGAAAUGCGUAGAUAUCGGGAGGAACACCAGUGGCGAAGGCGGCUUCCUGGCCUGUUCUUGACGCUGAGGCGCGAAAGCUAGGGUAGCAAACGGG
rnacentral:rRNA from 1 species